rnacentral:rRNA from 1 species
AUACGUAGGGGGCUAGCGUUGUCCGGAUUUACUGGGCGUAAAGGGAGCGCAGGUGGCUAAGUUCGUCGGUGGUGCAAGCUCCAGGCUUAACUUGGAGAGGUCUGCCGAUACUGCUUGGCUUGAGGACGGUAGAGGAGCACGGAAUUCCUGGUGUAGUGGUGAAAUGCGUAGAUAUCAGGAGGAACACCGGUGGCGAAAGCGGUGCUCUGGGCCGUUCCUGACACUCAGGCUCGAAAGCGUGGGGAGCGAACAGGAUUAGAAACCCCAGUAGUCC